GACGAACGCUGGCGGCGCGCCUAACACAUGCAAGUCGAACGGUUAAGCGACUUCCUUUUUGGUAGGAGUGGACGAGUGGCGAACUGGUGCGUAACAAGUGUGUCACCUGCAUUCUUCUACCGGCUAAAAACAUGAGAGUGUAGCUAAUACUUGACAACUUGGGCCUGGCGCAUGCUAGGAAUGGGAAGGGUAUUGCUUCGGAGGGGGAUGGGCUGGCGGCGUGUUAGCGUGUUGGUGGGGUGACGGCCUACCAAGGCGGCGACGGGUAGAGGGCGUGAGGGGGCGAGCAGCCAGAUCGGGACUGAGACGAGGCCCAGACUCCUACGGGAGGGCGCAGUGGGGAAUAGUGCAAAAUGGGCGAGAGCCUGAUGCAGCGACGCCGCGUGCGGGAUGAAGGCCUUCGGGUUGUAAACCGCUUUCAGCAGGGACGAGGCGAAAGUGACGGUACCUGCAGAAGAAGCCCCGGCUAACUACGUG
rnacentral:rRNA from 1 species